CACGUUCACGUUCAAGAGUGGUAGCAGAGUUAAUAUCAACAGUGUUGCUAACUGUUCUUAAAAUAUGUCUUCACAGGUAGCACAGCCCCUGUGAAGAAAUGUGUUGCACCAGUCUGGACCAAGUGUUUAAAGCCAUUUAAGCCGGUUAACCAGUGGCCUCCGACAGAGCAUGGAAACAAGACAGUGUUGGAGUUACCAGAAGGAGUAUUCAUCCUCUUUUGGCAGAGUUUGCCACCUCCCGUCUUCUCAGCCCUCGUGUCAAGCUAACACAUCCCAGACCAGAUGAAAAUGAUUACCAGCCCAUCGUGCUCCUGUUUCCAUCAAACCCUCAAUCUACCAGCAAACCGUGAUCCUCUGACAGCAGCAAUCACAACCUAUUGAAAAUGUCCCUCUCAUCAGAAGAUGGCAGCAUGCAGAAAUCUAUAAAAGGUUUUAAUGUUGUGGGCCUGCUAUGAUUGCCCGGGCUUUUAUCUGUUAUUCACCAGAUCACAGUGUCCCACUCUCUCCUGCUUGUCUCUGUCAGGCUAAAGACAGGCAGAGAGCAUUAGCUGUAAUGGCAGCUCCAUUGUUGCAGGUAGAUAGGUCAUAUCUUACCAAUACUAAUUGUGUCUGCUUGACAGAGAUAGUUUCUUCCUGCCUCAUAAUUUGCCUUUUGCCUGCUUUUUUCAGAGGAAACAAGACAAAAAAGAGAAAGGACAUGAAUAUACAAAGAUUUUCUUCCAUGAGUUGGUAUAUUGAUAAUCUAUGUCAAAAUUAUCCUUCCAUAUUUUGUAUAUAAGCGAGUGUAUGUUGCUCCUUGAUUCAACCUUGUGUUAGACUAGAAAUUCAA